CUGCCCCCUCCCCGAACACAGCCGCCUUUUCCUCCCUCCCCAACCCCGAGCGCCUCCCUUCCCGAAUGCGGGAGUCCAUAGUGCACGGGAAGCCUCUUCCCCUCCCCACCGAGGCUGCCCGACGCCCCUUCCACCCUCCGACCCCCCGCAACCAUCCCUCAAAUGCCCCGGCGGCCAGCAGGGCUGGGGUGGGCGCAGGAGAACCAGGGGUCCUGCCCGCAUGCAGGGGUUUGGGGUCGGUGUGGCCGAAUGAACGCGCGGGUUCAGACGAGCCUGUGAUGCCCCCGCUUUCCAUCUCCUCGCGACCUGGCCCCAGAAGACAGUCUGAGAGGCCGGUGGCCGCGGAUCCUGGACGCGCUUCCCUCCUGCCUGUGGUUUCCCUUUAUUCCGGCAGCGCUGUGAGUCCACCCUUCACUCAUAGGAGCCACAUCCAGAACCUUCUCCUGGGGCCACAGCGUGGGCUUCCGAUACCUGUGUGACCCCAGCUCUGCCCCUUCAGGGCUGCGUGGUGAAGCCCUCAGGACCCUCCGCGUGGGUUGGGCGGGUGACGUGGAUGAGGGACAACGUGGUGAGGUCCCCGUCGUGGCGAAGAGUGACCAGUAGGUGCCCAGGGCCCAACCCUCCUCUGCACCCGAGAGAAACCAUCUCCUCUGCAGCAGCCCCCACCUGGACGCUCUGGAGUCCUCCCCACCUCCCUCCCCAGUGGGGCGCACAGCAUUCUUGCUACCCUGAAAGGCAGACGGGAGGCACAGGGUGGCAGAGGGGGGCCAGGUCUGAGAUUCCAGAUGGAAGGGACCAUGGGGCUCCACCCCACCACCACUGUAGGCAGGGGACUGGCAGGUGUACACCCUUACUCCCGCGGGGCCCAGGGACACAGCCACCCUCCUUUGAGGCCCUGGCCCUCAGGACCCUGCCACAGCGAGGUCUGUGCCUCCCCAGUGACCAGUGGUCACCGGGCUCGGGGUCACCCAGCUGCUUCCACAUGUGACACCAUCAGCUCCAUGCCCUACCCCCAAGCUGGGCUCAUAAUCUUAAUUCACAGCUAAGAAACUCAACCAAAGUCACAUCACAUGAGGGCGAACCCUCCAGGGCCACAGUGCUCCAAGCACGGAGGGCUCCCUGCCUUCGGAAGAUGCUGUGGGUCCACCUGCAGCCUCAGUGGACAGAGGACCAGGGCACCAGCUGCUCUUCUGCCUCAGUGCGGAGCAUCCCUGACUCGCACUGCCCUGUACAGGUGGGGCUCACAGUCUGUGCAUGGAACUCAGAUAAAACACCUGGCCCUGGGAUGUCACACUUUGGUUCAGAUGAAUGAAAAAAUAAGAUACUGACACUCUGGAUGACUAAGAAUCGACUUAUGUCUUUCCCGUGAUGGGAAACUGUCCCAUGAAAAGCCACUUACAUGUUUGGAUGGUCCUGUAGAAAAUAUUUUUUCUUCUCCUUAUCGCAGUCUCUAUGAUGCAUAAGAAUGCAAUUUAAGACAAACAGCAAAUAAAUACCAUCUGUGUAUGUACCAAGCACUUGCAGACUGAAAAAAAAAAAAGAAAAAGAAAAAAUAAGAUAUUGUAUCUUGGGCACACAGAAAGUGCCCAUCAAAGAUUAAAUGAAUGGACUGCAGCUGGUGG
rnacentral:lncRNA from 1 species